ACAUUGUUCCAUCGAGCCUUCUAU
rnacentral:sRNA from 1 species